CGGUGCGUUCGGCGUGAACCCUAGCCCCCCAAACCACAGCCGCCACACCCUCCCUCCUCCUCCUUGCCUCGUCUGCCGCUGCACUCCCUCCCUCCUCCCUCGUCGCCACACCCUCCGCCCUAGGACCGCGCGCUCGUCCUGUCAUCUCAUGUGCCAUCGCUGACGGCCCCUGCCAUGGUGUUGCGGAGCUCUUCCCGUGCCCUCGCGUCCGACCUCACCAGGUCCUCGAUGCCGGCCUCAUCGGCUUGCUGCGGCGGCCGCUCUUGACGCCGUCCUUGUGACCCGACAGGGGCAAACCAGAGCGCGGGCGGCUCAUGUGGUGGUGCAGUGGGCGGCAGCCUCAGCAGGUGAGCGACGGAGACUGCAGCUGGUACACGACCUCGCACCCCAAUGCGUCCCUGCUCGAAUAGCUCGCAUCUUCACGGCCACCAAGUGCGCAGGCCAGUAAAAUUUUCUGCGGAUGUGUCCUUGUCGGAUGGAUGGUGACUAACGAGAUGCACUUCUUUGACACAAGUAAUUUUAAUAAAUUGAUUGUGUACAAGUGUUCAGAUCUUUUCUUGUGACAAGGAUGCACAAAAUCAAGUUUUCUGUCGGUAGGAGCUUUUUUCGCUGUCCAACUGUUCAGUUCCAAUGGAACAAGGUGUCUACUGGACUUCUUAUUGUCUCCCAACCUGAUGUGGAUAAAACCAACCAGAGUAUUAUGGCGAAACCAAGUUGCACUACUUGACAACUGAUAGGGCCUUUAAAGGAAUUGUUCCUCUCAAAAAGGAGGGGCCAGUGCAUGAUGUUCAGUGGUCUUCUUCAGGUUCUGAAUUUGUUGUGGUCUAUGGAUAUAUCCUUACAUAUUCUGGUGAACCAUGCAUGAGUCAUGCCUCGCUGUUCUGCUGUCCAUAGAAAUCUUUCUUUCUCUUCAUCACGUGUGACUUUUAUUAGCUCGAGCCUUCGUAAGAGGAAGUAUACGAUCUGUUCUGCCAGCUUUAGAUUCUUAUAGAUUACCCAGGUGUCGUUUAUGGGUCGGAGUCAUUAAUUCAUGCCUAUAUUUGAAAAAAAAAGUGCAAAGAACUGCAUUAUUCAUGCUGGCAUUACAUUUCUCUUUUUCCGGACUGGCCUGCUAAUGGUAGCCUCACUUCUUUACAUAGUCCUUACAUGAACCAUAACAUUUCUGAUUUAAUGUGUUUGUUCUCUACCACUGUUCCUUGACUGAAUCUCGGUUAGGCUGGCCAGAGCAACAAUAUUCAGCCAAAAAUGCAAUCCUCUUCACGACCUUGGUGAAGGCCAUUACAAUACGAUAAGAUGGAAUCCCGAAGGGCGAUGUAUCCUUGCAAUAAUUUGAUCACCCAGUCGUGCUAUGUUCUCUGGUCUCAGUGGGUGUAGAUAUAUAUGCACACCCUUCUGUUAUAGUUUGGUUAUUAGCAUACCAUAUGCGUCUAACAAAUUGUUAAUGUUGUGUUAUUGCUUGCUCUCGUGUAAGAAAAAAAAUCAUGUUUAUCUUGAUGAUAUCCUUGACCCAAAAAAAUCACCUUCCCUUUUUUCUUCUUCUCAGGCAAUGAGGCAUGAGGAGACGAUGCCCUAUCCACCUUCUGCAACCUCAUAAUUUUUCUUUGACCUGACCAUGUGAUUAUUUUGGGAUUUUAGCUCUAUGCAGCCACUUCUCUUGAUUAAGUUUAGAAAAUGUCGGCAACGGUUCGUUGAAUGGUUAAAGUUGGUUCAUAUGUGUUGUAUUGAAUGGUUGAAGUUGGUUCAUAUGCUUUGUAUAAAAUUGUUUUCAUAGAUCAUGUUAUGCACCUAGGAUGCAUGCAAUCUUUUUUUUUACUUCAGAAAAUGAUGUUGUGAGCGUAAAUUUAGACCGGAUAGAGAUAGCAAUAUACCAAGGGUUCUAAGAAUUGGAUUCAUAAUGCAGGGAUGUUAUUGAUUCAUCUGAGCUGCUCUAUCUGAUUGUAUUUUAUUAAGACCCUGCCAUUUUAAACAUAGCUUUUACAUUCCUAUUCGGGAAAUAAGUGCUAACGGAAAGACCGGGAUGCACUUUUUAAAAUGGUUUUUGCUAGGUAAAUGAUGUUGCACAACAAAUGCAAUUGCCUUUGUGUCUUACAUAACUCAUUUUUGUUUAUUCAGGUCAUAUUGCCUGUACAUUCCUAGCGGAAUGGAGUGCCCAGUUUUGUCCAGAAAGUUGAGGCCUUCUGGUGGUUCUUUUGCAAUGAGGGUUUCAGUGCUAACCAUAUUGCAUUUCCAUUUUCAGGGUGUCCUUUUCCUGGAUACCCACCCUCCAAAGCAUAUAUUUGCAUGAUGAUGUAAUGUUAGACCAACUUUCCUGUACAUAAGACUUUGCAGAUAAUCAAAUAACAGGAUGGCAUUAUUUGGUCCUCGAUUUGGGCCAAAUCGGGUAAGCCCUCCUCUUAUUUGAUUCUCUCUUGCGGCACUUGGCUGGUUCCAAGACCGUGAGGGAAAGGACUUCCUGUUGUGCGCGUGCUUGCCUUCGAACCAAAUCGAUCUCAACAGAAACACACGCACACACACACACGUAUGCAUUUUUUUCCUUGUCCCUGAUGUUGAGUUGUGAUUUUUUUUUCAAUGUGUACAUGGCUUCAGUGGGGCGAAGUAGAAUAAAUAGUCAAUCUUGAUCUUACGGAGUGAUGAUUUACAUUCUUUUUGCGAUGAGAUAAAACACAACCUAGGUGUUAUUUAGCUUGCUGCUGUAGGUCAGAGGAACAAUAUGUGGGUCGUUGAGUUCACUGCUUUAAGAUUGUUGUUCUCAUUCAUAGACGAAGAGUUAACCUGUCCAGGUUUUGGUGCAUUGACCAGCGAAAUUGGGGAAGCUACUGGUCCUUUUAAACUGCACAAAUGCAUUAUGCAUUUAGUUCAGAUUGUCAUGUUUACGAUCAUAUACGGCAGCCUUUUAUUUUAAAUAUAAAACUCCUUUUAUGUACAAGCUUAUUUGAUCGCUGGAAAGCUAAAUGAUGUUUGCUCAUCUCUAUAUUAUGACAGUCCUUGUUAAGAUCCAACAAUGCCUUGUGCGUGUGUAGGUUGCAUUGUUUCUGUAUAGGGGCGCAUAUCAGGAUGAGCUUCCCGAGUCCUUCUUUCCCCUCCGCUCAUGAUCUCUUUCUCUCUCCCCUACCCAUCUAUGCAAGAAUUGUUUAGCCUAAAUGCUUCUAUAUGUUGUAUGUAUUCUUAGAUGUACUUGAUCUAUUGUGAAUCUUGUGAUCACAGAACUUCCUGAAUCCGACGCUGUCAAUCGGGCCGCAGAGAGGAAGCGUGGUGGAGAUGAGAUGGGGACAGAGGAUCCUGCAGCGAUGUUGUUUGUUUGUUCUCCUGCUCAAGGUUUGCUGUCAAGCUCUCAAAAAGAAAAAAACAACUUUACUCUGUUUUCUGGAGAACCUUCCCGUAGAGUCACUACCUCAACAGAGACAAAUAUGCGAUCAAGGAUAUAUUCGAUGGAUUUUCAAGCAAAACUUGGAGGCUAUUUUUGCAGAUAGUUUGGUGCUCUCAUGGUUAUUUUGUAGAGAUUGUCCCUUUGUUCAUUUCUUGGUAACCGUCUACUGCAGCUCAGCUACUGUCCAGCAGCUAACCUUAUGGCCUUCCAUUCUCACUGUGAUUCCCCGAGAUGUCCUAUCUAAUAAAAAAUUUAUCUUGCCUUUUUCCAUUUCUCCAGGCAUGCACUUUCUAAUAAAAAUUUGGCAAUCUACUUGAGGCGAGUCAUUUAUCUAGCUACAGUAACCUUCCUUGCUUUUGCAAAUAAUACUUUAUGGUUGGCACUAUUGUCUAUAUCUGCCAAAUAACGUUAGUAUAGCCAGAAAUUCAGAUGCCACACGUUAGUGAUGGUUUGUUAUUCUGCUAUCAUUCCAUGUUGGUUAGCCAUGAUAAAUUUGAUUUCUAGAGUAGCAGAUGAUUCAUGUCAGGUUUCUUUUAGAGAUCAAAAUAUGUGUUGACUCUGAAAUAAGUAGUACGCCGUCCAGUUCUACAUAGGUGAAAGCAUACUGGUCCCAUUUACAUACUAUGCAAAACUGGACGGCCUUCUAAAUCUCUGAAACUAAUAUUUGUUGUGUAAUCUGUAUCACCUCUUCAUACUCUCUAUAUGCUUUCUACGUACUCCCUCCGUCCGAAAAAACUUGUCCCAUAAAUACAUGUAUCUAGCACCAAGUUAGUGCUAGAUACAUCCAUUUGAAAGAUAAGCUUGAGACAAGUUUUUCCGGACGGAGGGAGUAGAAGGUAAAAGUGCGUGAGAACGAUGGCCUAGAGGAUGUGAAUUGCACUCGAAUAUAUGCAGGGUUCGUGCCAAACUAGCCAGUAUUGUAUUUCAGAUGCUUCUUCUGUAACUUAAUAUAUUUUGCCGGCUCUUCUCAUUUCCCGGUGAACUUUUUAGUCUGUAUAGUUGAAUCAUUGGAAGUUGUUUUCUACUAUCUAUAGAGGUUUUAUUAUCCAAACUAUUAGCUACCUGACUUGCUUUUUUGAAAGGAAGUGUUCCUAGGAUUGCCUCUUUUACAUAUGGUUAUGCUCCAUAUGGCUACCUAUGUACAUAUGCGAAGGUUCUGUUUGGACUACUCAAAUCGCGUGGAGCUGUUAAAUUUCUUAUUUGUUGCCUUGCCGUUGUGUGCCAACGCAAUGUUUACUCCAGAAAAAUUGACUGAGCAAACUUCUUUCUUGAUUAGUUACUUGUUUUGCCUUAAAGACGUUCCCCACCUAUCACAUGUUUUAUUUUUGUAUGAAUUUAUAUUCCCUGGAAUAUGAGAAUACACCGUCCUGAUAGACCAGUGGACCAACACGUUUCCAUUGUAUUUUAGAAAAAUAUAUGUGAACUUGCAUAUAUUUUCUAAAUUUAUGUCUUUUCUUAUCCAUGCUCCUCCAUAGAUAAAUAGUAGGCUCAAUAAAAAUGAAUGUUCACUUGUGUUAAAAUUUCUAGGAAGUGUGCUUCACGCUUCUCUUUCUGCAAUAUGUUUCAGAGUAUAUAUUUUAAUUUUCCGACUUUCCCUGUUACAGUACUGUGUAUGUCAUUCUUAGCUUUGCUUUUGGAAACAUAAUAGUCUAGAAAUUCCAACUUGAAAUUGAACGAGCAACAAUCCAGGUAUUGUGCUUUCUUUCCCUCAUAAACUUGCUGACGAUAUGGGUGAAGACCCAUUACAGAUUUCUUAUGGAAUAAAAAGGUAAAUAUGAUGAUUUGAGAAUUGUUGGUCAAGAGCCAUGAAUAAGAGAAAGGCAUCACACUCAAGUUCGGAGAAGAAAAAGGAUACAAAGACAAAGAUAGAUCAGUAUUAUGCUCUGAAGCUAAAACUUUUUUGUGGAAUCCAUGUUACUUGAUUUUGUAUUAUGGAAGUAUGACUUGGUCAUAUAUAUUUACAUUAAUGUUGUCAACUUGUGGUUCAGCAAUAGGCAUAAUGUCCUAUCAAGUUAUUUGAUUUUGUAUUAUGUAAGUAUGACUUAGUCAUAUAUAUAUAUUUACAUUAUUGUUGUCAAGUUGUGGUUUAGCAGUAUGCAUAAUUUCCUAACAAGUUACUUGAUUUUGUAUUAUGGAAGUAUACUUAGUCAUAUAAAUUUACAUUAAUGUUGUCAUUGUGGUUUAGCAAUAGGCAUAAUUUCCUAUCAAGUUAUUUCUUUUGAAUAUAUUGUUGUUUAUAAGCUGGAAAAUUUGUAUGUGCAAUGAAAGUGUAUCUAACACUUAUAUGUAAAGGAUAAAUGUGAAACAUGUUAGAUAAUUCUUGGUCUAAAUUGGAACUUUGCGUCGUUCGGCAUCUAAGGGGUUUUAAAGGGUUUGAAUUAGUACUUCUGUGGUUCAUGAAACCCAAUUUUAUCCCCAAUUUUAUCGACAAAGGCACAUUUUCAAAACACUUUGUGUUUGAAAUAUGACUGUGGAAUUAGGCAUCCCAUGUGGUUCCUAAAUGCUAAUUUUAUCAACAAGUAGAACAGUUUUAUAGCACUCAUGAUUUCAAAUAGGACUUUGCGUCAUUUGGUAGAAUGAGCGUUAAAUUUGUUAUCAUAUGUGCUUGCCCACGACUAAAUCAACUAAACCAUUGAUUUUUUUCAAUGUGUACAUGGCUUCAGUGGGACUAAAUCAACACAUGCAAACCAAAUCGAUCUCAACAGAAACAAAUUUGAUAUCAUGCAAUGAUCAAUGCAGAUUAGGGUAGUUAUAGAGUUCUUCCUCAGUUUUCAUUGAGCAAAGAUUGAAUCUGUAUGAUUUGUUCUAAUACCAAGUAAAUCUUGGUCUGCAUUGUGUUAGUUUUCCUACUGAGUUUUUUUGGCUAUUUUCGUUUAAAUUGGUAGUUGAUGUGAAAAAGUGUGUGUUGACAUGCAUGUAACCAAAUCAUGUAUUAAUGUGAGGUACUACAUAUACUUGCCUAUCUCUUUCCAGAAGCACAACCCUCUUGAUCCUACUAGGAACAUCAAAACCAAAUGGGAUAUCAUUGAGUGGACUUCAGAUGGGUCUUGCCAAGAUCUGAGGAUGAAGGGAAGAAGAAUUUAACUAAACAGUGAAGAAGAUCAAGGAGAAGGAUGGCAGAAGUGAGUUCAAAAGGGAGAUCAUCUACAGCACUGGCAGAUCAGCGGGACAAGGGCAAUCAGUAGAGAGAUAGGGCAAAAGGGAGAUCUUUAUGCCACAUAAACUUGUAGAUCAACGUGAGGAGGACAAUCGGUAGAGAGGAUAGGGCACAAGGGAGAUCUUUAUGCCGCCUAUAGAUCAGCAUGUACCUUGGUCACGUUCUGGCAACAAGGAGGAUGAUCAAGAAGGAUUGGGGAACACCAGCAAAAAAAGUACUGGGGAAGACGGGCGGGACGAAGGCUUGGAGAUCGUUGUUUGGCGCAGUGUUGAUUGCUGGCUGGCCGACUGCGGUGUGCUACCAGCGAUGAGAUCCAGGAGGAGGUGGCGGCGGACAGGGAGACUAGGUAGGGAUGAACUGCCGAUUAAGAUGCAGAGCUGCUGUUUUUAUCAUGUUGUUCUUAUCCUGCUCACUAUGAUAUUUGUGGAAAAUAUUUGCACUAUGGUUUGGUUAAGAUACAGAGCUACUAUUUUUAUUCUGCAUUACCUCGUGGGUCUCAUUAUAUGGAUUAAGUACAAGGCAUCUGUGGUUCAAAAGUUUUUAGUAACUUGUGUUUAUCUUU